AUUGAACGCUAGCGGGAUGCUUUACACAUGCAAGUCGAACGAGUGGCGGACGGGUGAGUAAUAUAUCGGAACGUGCCCAGUAGCGGGGGAUAACUACUCGAAAGAGUGGCUAAUACAGCAUACUAUUGGAGCGGCCGAUAUCAGAUUAGCUAGUGUGUGGGGUAAAGGCUCACCAAGGCAACGAUCCGUAGCUGGUUUGCUAGGAAGACCAGCCACACUGGGACUGAUAAACGGCCCAGACUCCUACGGGAGGCAGCAGUGGGGAAGUUUUGACAAUUGGGGAAACCCUGAUCCAGCCAUCCCGCGUGUAUGAGAAGGCCUUCGGGUUGUAAAGUACUUUUGUCAGAGAAGCGGUAUCUGCAGAAUAAGCACCGGCUAACUACGUGCCAGCAGCCGCGGUAAUAC
rnacentral:rRNA from 1 species